GAUGAACGCUUGCGGUGUGCCUAAUACAUGCAAGUCGAGCGAACAGACGAGGAGCUUGCUCCUCUGACGUUAGCGGCGGACGGGUGAGUAACACGUGGAUAACCUACCUAUAAGACUGGGAGAACUUCGGGAAACCGGAGCUAAUACCGGAUAAUAUAUUGAACCGCAUGGUUCAAUAGUGAAAGACGGUUUUGCUGUCACUUAUAGAUGGAUCCGCGCCGCAUUAGCUAGUUGGUAAGGUAACGGCUUACCAAGGCAACGAUGCGUAGCCGACCUGAGAGGGUGAUCGGCCACACUGGAACUGAGACACGGUCCAGACUCCUACGGGAGGCAGCACUCGCGAAUCCUCCGCGAUGCGCGACAGCCUGACGGUGCGAUGCCGCCUGAGUCAUUAAAGUCUUCCGAUCGUAGAACUCUGUUAUUUGGGAAGAAGAAAUGUGUAACUAACUAUGCACAUCUUGAAGGUACCUACACCUAAGACCACGCUCACUUCAGUC
rnacentral:rRNA from 1 species